rnacentral:rRNA from 1 species
UACGGAGGGGGCUAGCGUUGUUCGGAAUUACUGGGCGUAAAGCGCACGUAGGCGGCUUUGUAAGUUAGAGGUGAAAGCCCGGAGCUCAACUCCGGAACUGCCUUUAAGACUGCAUCGCUUGAACGUCGGAGAGGUAAGUGGAAUUCCGAGUGUAGAGGUGAAAUUCGUAGAUAUUCGGAAGAACACCAGUGGCGAAGGCGACUACUG